rnacentral:rRNA from 2 species
UACGGGAGGCAGCAGUAGGGAAUCUUCCACAAUGGACGAAAGUCUGAUGGAGCAACGCCGCGUGAGUGAAGAAGGGUUUCGGCUCGUAAAACUCUGUUGUUAAAGAAGAACAUAUCUGAGAGUAACUGUUCAGGUAUUGACGGUAUUUAACCAGAAAGCCACGGCUAACUACGUGCCAGCAGCCGCGGUAAUACGUAGGUGGCAAGCGUUGUCCGGAUUUAUUGGGCGUAAAGCGAGCGCAGGCGGUUUUUUAAGUCUGAUGUGAAAGCCUUCGGCUCAACCGAAGAAGUGCAUCGGAAACUGGGAAACUUGAGUGCAGAAGAGGACAGUGGAACUCCAUGUGUAGCGGUGAAAUGCGUAGAUAUAUGGAAGAACACCAGUGGCGAAGGCGGCUGUCUGGUCUGUAACUGACGCUGAGGCUCGAAAGUAUGGGUAGCAAACAGGAUUAGAUACCCUGGUAGUCCAUACCGUAAACGAUGAAUGCUAAGUGUUGGAGGGUUUCCGCCCUUCAGUGCUGCAGCUAACGCAUUAAGCAUUCCGCCUGGGGAGUACGGCCGCAAGGCUGAAACUCAAAGGAAUUGACGGGGGCCCGCACAAGCGGUGGAGCAUGUGGUUUAAUUCGAAGCUACGCGAAGAACCUUACCAGGUCUUGACAUACUAUGCAAAUCUAAGAGAUUAGACGUUCCCUUCGGGGACAUGGAUACAGGUGGUGCAUGGUUGUCGUCAGCUCGUGUCGUGAGAUGUUGGGUUAAGUCCCGCAACGAGCGCAACCCUUAUUAUCAGUUGCCAGCAUUAAGUUGGGCACUCUGGUGAGACUGCCGGUGACAAACCGGAGGAAGGUGGGGAUGACGUCAAAUCAUCAUGCCCCUUAUGACCUGGGCUACACACGUGCUACAAUGGAUGGUACAACGAGUUGCGAACUCGCGAGAGUAAGCUAAUCUCUUAAAGCCAUUCUCAGUUCGGAUUGUAGGCUGCAACUCGCCUACAUGAAGUCGGAAUCGCUAGUAAUCGCGGAUCAGCAUGCCGCGGUGAAUACGUUCCCGGGCCUUGUACACACCGCCCGUCACACCAUGAGAGUUUGUAACACCCAAAGUCGGUGGGGUAACCUUUUAGGAACCAGCCGCCUAAA